UCGGUGUUGGAUUUGGGCUUUAUAAACUUGGCUUUCCAGCAGUUGGUUUUCCUCCAUUGCCUGCUUAUUUUCCCUCUUCGAAGAGUGAAUAAAAGAUACAUGAUGAAAUACAGGUCGACAAGUGUGUGGAAAUUGGACUUCCAGAACUCAUCCUAAUGGUCGCAUUUUCUCAGGUACACAUUACAAUUUUUUAUGAAUUUCUGCUGGACCAAACCAUUGUUUAAAUGGUUUUGAAUGAGGUGAUGUUGUACUAAUCAUGUUUGUUUCCUAGACGAUAUUUUCCUCAUCUGUUGCAUUCUGGAAAGUGUCUUUGGUCGGUUUUCUGUUCUUUUCACCGUUUCAAUCGUGUGACUGUACACAUGUAUCCUCACAAUUAGUGGCGCUUACAAGAAUGGCGGGCCUACCUGUAGCUUUUCUUAUGUAGUUAAAUAAAACAACCCAGGGUCUCACACUUUACUUCCUUUCUAAUAUAAUAAGGCUGCUAUUGCCUGUUAAUACUUCACAUUGGCGAUGAGCUUUACACCAGUUAUAGUUCAUCGAUUAUCUUCUGCCUUCUUGAUAAACAUAAUUAUAUGUUAAUUUGCUAUAUUGUUUUCUUACUUUUUUUAUCAAACUGCCAUAUAUGAUACACGAAGAAGCAUUUACCUGAAGGCAUUAAUAGCGUUUUCACAUAGAAUUUGUUCUUUUUUUGCUCCCUUAAUUAGAUGCUCUAGAAACCUGAUAAGUGUCACGUUGAUUCAGACUUGGUGCUAGAUGUGUUAGCCCCCAUUUAUCCUUGACAAGUACCGUAUUCUCAAAUCUAUAUGGUUGGUUGUACUUCUUUUAUGUUGGAGCUACAGAUGCAUCUCGGUCAUUUACGGAAACUAAAAUCUGCAUCUUCAGCUCAUAGUUUGCCAAAAUUUCUUGAGAUUUAUUCAUAUUGUUCUUAUUAGGUACUUCAAGUCAAACUUUCUUGAGAUUUAUUCAUGUUGUUCUUAGGUACUUCAAGUCAAACUGUACAUGCAAUUAAUGGGGCUACAUGAUAGUCACUUUAAUAUAUCUUCUUGGAAGCCGCUUAGUGUUUCCAUGAAUAAUUGUCGCUGGUCUGUUGCACGCCUUCAUUGUUUGGUGGGCUACUUCCUGCCUGAUGUGGUUGAAGAAUUUUUAGAGGCAUGGUUCAUCUUGCGUGCAGCUUUUAGUUUGAGUUUCUAUUGACACAUUACAUUUCCUUUUCAUGUAGACCUCUCCUUUUUCAUUUUUUUAUAGCUGGGUGUAAUAGCAAGUCGUCUAUAAUCAUUUUGUUUAACUACAAUCCGAUGCAAAAAACUUCUGUUUAGUCCUCAUAGUUCAUCCAUAAUAUGUUUGCUUUCAAAAUAAAGAAAUCAGGGGUCCAGGUUCUGAUCAUGCUCCGAUUGAGUCUAUGUAGCUGUCCUUGGUUUUUUUCUAUACGCUUGCAUCAUCUAGGUUCUGACCAUGGCACAAUCUUGUUUCAAAUUUGUUCUCAUAUAUGUAUGCGCCGUGAUGAUUGAUGAGGCGUAUUGGUGGAAAUAAAUCUGAAGCAAAUAAGAGCUGCGAGCAACUGGUUGUGCCCCUGUUAACCUGCUCAAUAUUCGUGUUGUUUGCCUGUCGGUCAAAUGCCUGCUAUUCAGCAGACAGAUAGCUUAGAAACCAGCGUUAGAAAGGACCUGAUACACAUUACAAUUAUGGACUACUGAUAUACCUAAUGCAUUUCUUCAUGAUGGUUGGUUCCCUUUCUCCAUAUCUUACAUAUUUAAUUAUGUGAGUUCGGAAGCCAAAACUGAUUGAGAUCUUUUGUUCUUACUUGCAGAUGUUCUGUUAUUUAGAGUACUUCAGUUUCCAGUCUCUAUAUAUCAAUCAAAUUAUGGGUUAUUUUGAACCUUAUAGGCUUUUAUAUUAUGUUCAGUUAUGCUUCCAUGGGUUUUUCAUAUGUAUUAACAAAAGAACUAGACUACUAUUUUGUUUAUACUUGAAUCAAAGGACGUACAAUUAAUUUGCUAUUAUGGAAGGACUGAGUAGGCAGCUAGCUGAAUGAGAGGACAAUCAUGACAAGCAAACCAACACAUAAAUAGUAAUCCCACAAUUUUUUACAACUGCAUUCCAGUGAACUUUGGUAUGGAUAUGCAUUUUUAUCCUUGGGAGUACUUUGGAUUUUAAGUGGGAAUCAUAGUUCUUUUCUUCUUAACUUUGGUAUGGCAAGCAAUGCAGGUGAUAUUCCUAAUGGUCGUUGCUGACGCUGAAAAACUACUCUUGAAGCACUAGAAGUGACCUCUCUAUGGUGCAUCACUCAGUGGAUCCAAAUGGGCAACCUUCCGCUUCAAAAUUAGAAGAGCGCAGUUUUGCCUGCUAUCAUUGCUUACAAAGAGCAAGACAAAACUUAAAAGGUGAUCUGGGACAAGUGGAAGGAGGGAAGCCGCUGUAAGAUCGAUAAUAACUUGCCGACAAGAGCAUGUUCAUUCAGACGUUUCCUUACUAAAAGUUAUUUAUCUGUAGCAAGUGUUUCUAUUGGAACUAUCAAAUUCAAACUCCUAGGUGUCUAUGUCAGGAUGUAGGACUUUGUCCGGGCAGCGAUAUCCCCUCUGAUCUUUUCGUGAAUACUUUCACAAUUCUUUCUGUAAAGUGCUGCUGAUUUUAAUA